AUUGAACGCUGGCGGCAGGCCUAAUACAUGCAAGUCGAGCGAGCGGCGGACGGGUGAGUAAUGUAUGGGGACUGCCCGAUAGAGGGGGCUAACUACUGGAAACGGUGGCUAAUACCGCAUACUGUCCGUUAACCCAUAUGGGAUUAGCUAGUAGGUGGGGUAAAGGCUCACCUAGGCGACGCUCACUAGCUGGUCUGAGAGGUUGAUCGGCCACACUGGGACUGAGACACGGCCCAGACUCCUACGGAGGCAGCAGUGGGGAAUAUUGGACAAUGGGCGAAAGCCUGAUGCAGCCAGGCCGCGUGUAUGAAGAAGGCCUUAGGGUUGUAAAGUACUUUCAGCAGGGAGGCGUUACCCAAAGAGAAAGCAACGGCUAACUCCGUGCCAGCCGCCGCGGUAAUAC
rnacentral:rRNA from 1 species